ensembl:lncRNA
AUUAUCCAGCAUUGUCUUUAUCUUGGACAACAUCCGCUUCUCAGACACCACCCUAUGUGGUCGGAUCCACAAUCCGUCUUUUACAGUGGUGCAGAAACCCAGGAUUGUGACGUGGAGGAACCGCAACCAGGCCAGCCAGGGGAGGCGCUGGCCCAAAUGGUGGCCGAGCUCACCGCCACGCGGAGGAAGCAGGUGGUGGUGUUUCGCCACCAGUGGGAACAACGGCAGGACUGGACCGAGCCCUGGAUGCAGUGGAAAGAGCAUGGAAGGAAAAUGUCCAGAUUGAGAGGUGACUGUGUGGUGGUACCUAAGACUAAAUAUGCUGAGGUGAGGCGGGAAACGAGAGAAGGGAAGGAUGGAAAGCUGGGACCAGCGCUGACCAGACUGUGGGCUGUUGUAUAAAAACCAAAAUAAACUUGACAUCUGUGAGCACAACCAUUGUGUGCGUGGAGUGCAUUCUUCAAUCUGUAAUUGUAAACAAACAGACGGAGCCUCGUUUUCUUGGAACCACUGCUAACCAAGAAAAGAAUACAUUUUCUCAAAGCUCAGAUCUCACAGAUUCCAAAACUGCAAGUCACGCUCCAACCAAAAUCCACUGAACCAGCCACAAAGGAAGACCACAAAUAUGUUUGAUGCAUGAUAAACAAUAACGUAAAAUCAGACUUAGUGCUUUUGUUCCUUCAAUUACAGAGACAUCCAUUCUACACUACAGCUCAUUUCCUGACUAACUCAAUCUCCUACAAUGCCCCAGAGCCAUUUCCCAUUUAAAAAAUCACUAUUUUCUGCCCAGUUACAGACAUUUUAUUGGACAAGGGCAAGCGUCAUCUUCUGAUUGGUGGAACUGACCUAAACACGGUGACAUUAAUGUGAUUUUGUUGACUCAAAUGAUAAAAAGAGCGGUCAGUCAUGUAAAUUGGGCAAUAGAAGCCGAAGUUACAGAGAUUAAAGGGAAAAGAGACAUUUCCAAACCUUAAUUAGACAGAGGAAAAAACAGGCCAAAUGUACCUCAGCGUGUGGGUACUUCUUAAAUAAAAAUAAUGGAAAAACAAGCAUUUUUAGGCAUGCAAAUAAAGUUAAAUCAUUUCUGCUGUUCAAUACCUAAAAAAUUUCAACUGACAGAUGGUGCCAACAUUUGCCAAAUGGCAAAACACCUGAGUAUCUAUUCAUUAAAAGUUCUGUUCUGUAAUUUUUCACUGUUUUGAUUCAGAGGUAUGCAUCUUUGCACAGACAAUGUUUUUCCUAUGUUGAUUACUGGUUUUCUGGAGUUUAUUGUCUACUGAAGCAUAUUUUCAAAGUGGUUAUAUGAAUUAAAAUCCCAAAAUAAAGGAUAAAGGAAAAAAUCGACUUUUUCUAUGUUCCAG